GCUACAGCCAAAUGUGUUGUCACUCAAUGUGUUGUCACUCAAUGUGUAAUGUCCCUGUUUGUACACUGGGUGUUGCUGUGCAUUGCACAGGUGUUUUUAGGCAUAUAGGUAAGAAGCCUACUGUUGUGGUUAGGUGUUGACCCCGGAAGGGCAAAUGGUUUUGACCGCUAUACCGCGAAGGUUUGAGUAACAUGUCGUUGCUCUGCGUUUUAAUGGACAAUAAAUGGAGAACUGUUUAAACGAACGCAAUGCGUGUAUGGACUUUAUCUCGCUGACGCGAUCAGGGUGAUGGAACAGCAGGAUGAGAUCACCCAAUUUAAGAGCAGACUAUCCAAGGUCAAACAGGAUUCUUCCCAGAAGAUUGCUGGAGUAGAGGCAGAACUGGAGAGGUAGAGGCAGGAGAUCAAUGAGAUAAAAGUACAGGACUGUAAAUAUGGUAAAAGAAUGGAAGAGAUUGCCACAUUGGAGAAAGAAGCCAGAGACUUGCAGGCCAAAUUAAAGCGUCUCAGAUAGUCCUCUGAGAGAGAUAUUGCAGGUGAUGAAUAAUUUCAGUCAUAUAUAGCAAAUAGUUUUCAUAGUGAAAACUGUUUCAACUGGGAGUGGAAACAUUCUCCCAACACAUCGUAGGUUGAUUAAGGGUUGAUUUUAACGGUUGCUGUUAACUAUGUGCUGA